UACGAAGGGGGCUAGCGUUGUUCGGAAUUACUGGGCGUAAAGCGCACGUAGGCGGAUAUUUAAGUCAGGGGUGAAAUCCCAGAGCUCAACUCUGGAACUGCCUUUGAUACUGGGUAUCUUGAGUAUGGAAGAGGUAAGUGGAAUUGCGAGUGUAGAGGUGAAAUUCGUAGAUAUUCGCAGGAACACCAGUGGCGGAGGCGGCUUACUGGUCCAUAA
rnacentral:rRNA from 1 species